rnacentral:rRNA from 1 species
CACGCUGUAAACGAUGUCUACUAGCCGUUGGAGGACUUGAUCCUUUAGUGGCGCAGCUAACGCGAUAAGUAGACCGCCUGGGGAGUACGGUCGCAAGAUUAAAACUCAAAUGAAUUGACGGGGGCCCGCACAAGCGGUGGAGCAUGUGGUUUAAUUCGAAGCAACGCGAAGAACCUUACCUACUCUUGACAUCCAGUGAACUUUUGAGAGAUCAAUUGGUGCCUUCGGGAACACUGAGACAGGUGCUGCAUGGCUGUCGUCAGCUCGUGUUGUGAAAUGUUGGGUUAAGUCCCGUAACGAGCGCAACCCUUGUCCUUAGUUACCAUCAUUAAGUUGGGGACUCUAAGGAGACUGCCGGUGACAAACCGGAGGAAGGCGGGGACGACGUCAAGUCAUCAUGGCCCUUACGAGUAGGGCUACACACGUGCUACAAUGGCAUGUACAAAGGGUUGCCAAGCCGCGAGGUGGAGCUAAUCCCAUAAAGCAUGUCG